GACCGCGACACUCAUUCAUAAAAAUAGUUCACGUAUGCAUUCACGUUGAGCUCACAUGCAGAGGAUCGAUUAUUUCACGCAUAGUGCAUGCAUUUUCUUUUGUUAACUUCUUCGUGUCGGAUUCUAGGAUUGGAUUUUUAAACAUAUAUUUUCCUGUGAUGUUUCUUUACGGUCAGAGCCAAGCACACGACUACUCCAACACUAUAAAACCAACGUGCAUGUUGGAGCUUUGGUGAGGAAAAAAAAGAAUGCAGCAGAUGUUCAACGUGACCUCCGAUUGAAAGCUCGUCGGCGUUGUGCUUGCAGACUGAGUGUGCCCCCACUCCCCCCGACCCGAGAGUGCACUUCCUGCUCCGAAAGGUAACACCCAGAGAGAACAAUCACAGUCUGUGCCCUCAAAGCAUGCAUAUGCAUCCAUACAGUGAAAGUUGUGCACUUUAAGGUCAGCAUGCUUGACAAUAAAAUGAAAAUUGAUGGCAGAAUCACAAAGAUCUUCUCAUUUUCGGAGUCUCUUUAUGCUACAUAUUGGAGGUUGACUUCAUAUAUUUGUUUAUAUUUCUACAGUUGAUUAUCAUUUCAUUUAACGGAGCAGUAGUGUGUGAAGAAUGAGACAACGAAAGAUGCCGUGAAGAAGCUGAGAAACUUCAGGUUCUGGUCCAGGUUUCAGUUGUUAGAUGUUUCGGUAUAAAAUAUAAAAUUGGGUUGAUUAUUCAUCUCGGAGAUAUGAGGGAAAAAAACAGCAGCAAAUGACUUUGACAGAAGAGAACAACGUGUGCUUUCUCGCUGACCUCAGAUUGAACCACUGAUAGAAAGAAUCCAGGUCAGAGUGCCAGAACAUUGCACUUAAGUGGGACUUGAGUUUUGCCUCACAACUGUAAAGUCACCGAAUAAAAAUAUGACUUCUCCAUAACCACAAUAGCCUUGUUUCCUGAUUUGUCAAGCGCACCUUUGGAGCGUUGAUGUAUUUUGUUGUUUUCCCUCGCUGUCUUUCCGUUUUUACAACCCCUGCUCCCUUUUCCACUA